rnacentral:lncRNA from 1 species
GUAAUGAGCCUAUCCUCUCUUCUAUAUUCAAAGUGAAAUCAAUUAUCAAUAUAAGACCAGAAUAUUCGGAGGACUCUUUUGACCAAACAAAUAUAUGUCAACAAAGUUGUUUUUUUAUUCAAAUCCAAAGACUUAUUUUUAAUUUAUACAUAGGUCAUCCAUCGAUUACGCAUUGUACAAAGGGGAGGUUUAAAUUCACCCGUUUUUCAUUUCUCGACGUAAAUAGGAUUCAAGACAUUUUAUCGACAUGAGUGUUUUAUAUCGAAAAAAAAUNNNNN